ACGGGAGGCAGCAGUAGGGAAUUUUCGGCAAUGGGCGGAAGCCUGACCGAGCAACGCCGCGUGAACGAAGAAGUAUUUCGGUAUGUAAAGUUCUUUUAUUAGGGAAGAAAAAUGACCAAAUUGACGGUACCUAAUGAAUAAGCUCCGGCUAACUACGUGCCAGCAGCCGCGGUAAUACGUAGGGAGCGAGCGUUAUCCGGAAUUAUUGGGCGUAAAGGGUGCGUAGAUGGGAAUAUAAGUCUGAUGUUAAAAUGCUGGGCUCAACCCAGUAUCGCAUCAGAUAUUGUGUAGCUAGAGUAUUGGAGAGGCAAGUGGAACUCCAUGUGUAGCGGUAAAAUGCGUAAAUAUAUGGAAGAACACCAGUGGCGAAGGCGGCUUGCUAGCCGAAUACUGACAUUGAGGCACGAAAGCGUGGGGAGCAAACAGGAUUAGAUACCCUGGUA
rnacentral:rRNA from 1 species